UACGGAGGUGGCAAGCGUUGCUCGGAAUCACUGGGCGUAAAGGGCGCGUAGGCGGGGAGGUAAGUCGGGUGUGAAAUCCCUCGGCCCAACUGAGGAACUGCGCCCGAGACUGCUUCUCUUGAGUCCCGGAGAGGAAGAUGGAAUUCCCGGUGUAGCGGUGAAAUGUGUAGAGAUCGGGAGGAACACCGGUGGCGAAGGCGGUCUUCUGGACGGUGACUGACGCUGAGGCGCGAAGGCUAGGGGAGCAAACGGG
rnacentral:rRNA from 1 species